UUGACAUCACUGGAAACUGAAGGCCUCUUUUGUACACAGAACAGGUACAGCACAGGCAGUGUCAGUGCAAAUUUCACCACACUGCUCUCCCAGUGUGCAUAACUCUUAGAGGGUGAGAUGUAUACUGUAAGAGGGUAGUCUAGUGUAUAUAUAUUACCAGUUAUUUCUCCACA
rnacentral:sRNA from 7 species